CUAUGGGAUCAGCCCCAAUCCCAUGGGAUAAACCCCAGUUCCAUGGGAUCAGCCCCAAGUUUCCCAUUGGCCAGCGUGGGCUGAAGUUCCCAGGGGUUUCCUUGGAAUUUGGGGCUCUGCAUUCCUGGAUUUCCCCAGCAGGAGGAGGAGGAGGAGGCUGGGGAGGGGACGGACGUGAAGGUGGCUGGGGAGAAAAGCCUGAGUGGCCUCAUCCAGGACCUGCGGCACAGGCUCCCUCCCACCAUGGCCAGCGAGCUGUCGGUGCCCUUGGCCUUCAUCUCCCUGCUGCACCUGGCCAACGAGAAGAACCUGGAGCUGGAGAGCACCGAGGACCUGUCGGAUGUCCUGGUGAGAGGGGGGAACUGACCCUGGAGCCGCUGCAGAUCCAGCAGGGAAUGCUGAGAAAUCCCAAAAUCCCAAACCCCUGGCGAGGUUGGGAUUCAGGGAUGGCCUGGCUGGACAGAUCCCACCAGGAUCCAGCAGCUUUUCCCUGGGAUUGGAAAUCCCUGCACUUCACUGUGAACCCAGGCUGCUCUGUGUCCCAACAUUUCCUCUGUGUAUCCCAACAUUUCCUGUCUAUAUCCCAAAAUUUCCUCUCUGUAUCCCAAAAUUUCCUGUCUAUAUCCUAAAAUUCUGUCUGUCCCUGUGUCCUUCCCAGUCUGUAAUUCCCAGUUUUUGGAUUGACUGUUAGUCCUGGCUCCCAUUCCCUCCAUUCUGGAAUUAUUCCCUUUUUCUACUGUUUUCAAGGAUAAUAAAGUUUGCAUUUGCACACUUUGGAG
ensembl:lncRNA